rnacentral:tRNA from 1 species
GGACUCUUAGCUCAGUUGGUUAGAGCGCGCCCUUGAUAAGGGCGAGGUCGCAGGUUCAAGUCCCGCAUGGUCCA